rnacentral:rRNA from 1 species
UACAGAGGGGGCAAGCGUCGUUCGGAAUUACUGGGCGUAAAGGGCGCGUAGGCGGCCUGCUAAGUCGAACGUGAAAUCCCCGGGCUCAACCCGGGAACUGCGUCCGAUACUGGUUGGCUUGAAUCCGGGAGAGGGAUGCGGAAUUCCAGGUGUAGCGGUGAAAUGCGUAGAUAUCUGGAGGAACACCGGUGGCGAAGGCGGGUCUCUGGGCAACUACUGACGCUGAGGAGCGAAAGCGUGGGGAGCGAACAGG